GUCAAGAGCAUCUGUAAUCGUUCCACUAUGCUACGUUUGAAUAAACGGGAAGGGAUGCCUGCUCUGAUAAAACCCUCUUUUGAUCUCGGAGCUGACCAUUCCUGCACAGAUAACCGGAGGCGGGCAUGCUAUUCGUGGUCCAGAGAGGACAGAGCAACACUAGUUCACGGAGACUUCAGCCCACUGCCUUUGCCGUCUGGAUACACUGCUGCGCAUAACCGGAGGCACCGGAAUUGCGGGUGUCAGGAGCAGGCCCCGUGUGACCAGUUCAGGGAAAGGGGCUGGCCCGCUCUGUCUAGCCUGCAGCUUGGGGGCCGCAGGAGCCGCACGGGAGUGAUCUGUACGUGCUUCUCUUUUCUGAAACCUACUUCCUCAGAGGCUGGCUGUCCCCCAGGGUCUCCCGAUGGUCAUUUGUGAUUUGUCAUAGUUCUUCCCAAUUUUAUCAAUCUAACAAAAUGCAUUAUACAUUGAUUUAAAGUUUUGUUGUCCAAAACACUGGGGAGUAUGAGAUCCAGAAGUUGGUCGCAUGCAGCAUCAAGUAAUAUUUCAAAUUGUCUGGUAAAUAAAGUGGGUGGAGUGAACUCAAGUGUGCACACUGCAGAGACUUCAUCUCACUGAAAACUGAUUCUUGAUUCUGAUAAUAGAAAUAACAGUAAAUGAUAUCAGGUAAUAGGAUAUCAGUAGAAUGUUAAAACUAUGGAGUAACAAAACAAUAGAAAAUAUUUUAAGUGGCUUUAUAUUUGCAAGAAAAUGACUUGAUGUCUAGAUAGAGUAUUCUUCUGUCAAAACUUACUUUUAGACCUGUAAUCCUCCAUAAAAUGAGUGUAGUGUAACAGAAGAAAUUAGAAUGUAAUUGUUUUACAUUGCAGGCGAACAACACUGGCAG
rnacentral:lncRNA from 1 species